AGGUUGCAAGCAAAUACCAUAAAAGUGCAAUCUAUGUAUGCGAAAUUGUUAGAUAAGUAUUAUGAUUGAAGGGAAAUAAAUUUAAGCCACAGGGAAAAAGGAGCAAGAAUAGCAUAAAGGACUAAAAUCAAGGAAUGGGACCAUGCUCAAUUCAUCAGUUUAUUCACCAAAAUCUGACAUUUAGGAAAUGUCAACAAGUGAACGUAGCAAAGCUUGUUCUGAAGCAAAAGGGUAAAAAUAUUUGAGAAGUGUAAUAUAGAAAAAAUAGGAUAUACAAGUUUCGAGUACAAAUGAAGUUAAGAGGUAUUACAUUCAGUAAGAAGACUUGAUGAACGGACGAGAAACGCAAAGAAAAAAAAAGAUCGAAAACCUCUAGCGCAUUGAAAGCAAUGGAUUGGGACUACGAGCUUUAGACGGUUGCUUAUGAGAAGAGUGCACGCUUGGUGGGGGGUUUUGCCCGGAUGCGGCAUGCAAUUGGGCAAAAUAAGAGGAAGAAUUAGUCGACUGUAAAUAAAAUGUUAGUAAAUACUUUAAAUAAAACGAGUUGGUUCAAAAUAUCUCAAGUUCCUAUACACUAACCUUCUUAGACUUUUUGACCGUAAUAGUUUGUGAAGGUUUCACCAAUUCAAUGCUUAAUUCUUGUAGAGGACGACGUUGUAGAGGGCGUUGAACUCUAUAAAGAGCAUUGGACGAAUCCAUAUGGGCCUUCUCCAUGUUUGGAGGCUCAUUUUCCUUGUUGUCGGUGUUUACCAUGUUUUCAAA